AGCAGCCGCGGUAAUUCCAGCUCCAAUAGCGUAUAUUAAAGUUGUUGCAGUUAAAAAGCUCGUAGUUGAAUUUCGGGGUUAGUAGGUUGGUCAUGCCUCUGGUAUGUACUGGUCUCACUGAUUCCUCCUUCCUGAUGAACCUUAAUGCCAUUUAUUUGGUGUUUUGGGGAAUUUGGACUGUUACUUUGAAAAAAUUAGAGUGUUUAAAGCAAGCUAACGCUUGAAUACAUUAGCAUGGAAUAAUGAAAUAGGACGUUCGAUCCUAUUUUGUUGGUUUCUAGGAUUGACGUAAUGAUUAAUAGGGAUAGUUGGGGGCAUUAGUAUUCAAUUGUCAGAGGUGAAAUUCUUGGAUUUAUUGAAGCUAACUACUGCGAAAGCAUUUGCCAAGGAUGUUUUCAUUAAUCAAGAACGAAAGUUAGGGAUCGAAGACGAUCAGAUACCGUCGUAGUCUUAACCAUAAACUAUGCCGACUAGGGAUCGGAUGAUGUUAUUUUUANGACUCAUUCGGCNCCUUACGGAA
rnacentral:rRNA from 1 species